UGUUUGUUUCAUGGGAUUGGAUGGGAUUGGACUGUCUUAUUUAUUAGAGUAAGAGUUAUCCCAUGUUUGGCUGAAACAAGGACUCACUUAAAUGAGACUAUGCAGUCCCCGAGUCUACCUCCGCACCUUCUUACAUAGUCUCCCCAAAUUUCACCGGACUGUGGAAGCAGGUCUUAUGCAACGCUAAAGUCUCGUUCUUCGCUUCAGCCUCAUCGUUCUCACUCACUCGUUUCCUUCGCUUCAGUCUUCUCCGGCUGCUCUUUUUCAGGUUCAAUUCUCUCAUUUCUCAUGCUCUCUGUCUUGUGUUGAUUAUUGUUCACUCUCCCCUUCAACCCUCUCUACCUUCUUCUUUCUCCGUCUACUAUAAUUUGUUUUAUUAAAGAUUAUGGAAUGAUUAUCUGUAAUUUGUUUAUGGGUAGUGAUUAUUUUACGGAUUGAUUGAGGAUUUGGUGUCUGAGUAGCUUGAUUUGUUGAGAAUUUGAUCAAUUUCAUGACUGGGUCUCUCUCUCUCUCCCCCCUUCAACCCUCUCUACCUUCUUCUUUCUCUGUCUACUGUAAUUUGUUUUAUUAAAGAUUAUGGACUGAUUAUCUACUGUAAUUUGUUUAUGGGUAGUGAUUAUUUUACAGAUUGAUUGAGGAUUUGGUGUCUGAGUAGCUUGAUUUGUUGAGAAUUUGAUCAAUUUCAUGACUGGAUCAAUUUCAAUUUGAUCAAUUGUUGUUUAGGAAGGAAACUACUCGGUAUUGGAGAAGUUCUAUGUACAUCGGCAAGGAUACAAGAACAGAUUUUCAAAAUCCAGGACCAGGUAUAUAUUUCGUUUCUUGCUAUUAUCUUUAUGGAUGUGUGAAAUAAAACCUUCGCAUACUGUUAAGUUGAGGUCAAACUCAUUAGCCAGAAACUGACCAUUACUUGGAGCUAUCUUUAUUAAUAGCUAAGCACCAGAUCCAUCUGUUUCUUGUAAUUGAGGAUCCCAUUUUUUUAGAAGUCCUCUAAUGCUGGUUGUUUAUGUAAUUGAUUCAGUCCACAACAAGCUGCUUCCCUGAAUUGUUCUUUCAGGCAUUUCUCUGCCCUUUGGAUUCCUAACAAGUACAAAAUGCUCCUAGCCACUUUUUGAUAAUAUAAAUUCAGUCUUAUCUUUUGUUUCAUUUUGUAAUUUAUGUUUUUGAUAUGUGGAGUUAAUGAAAUUGGUUCUGUUUUCGGAUGUAUGUGGAGGCUUUGAAAUGUGCAUUGUGGCUUGCUGCUUUGGCACACUUCUGGAAUAAUGAAGGCAUUACUGAUCAUAUCAGAUGAGGGAGAUGACUGUCCCAUGACCAAGCUGCCAGAAAUCAACUUUGAGGCUCUGUUUUGGUGCAAAACUCCUAGAGAAAUGAAGCUUAUUUUUAGGCUCAUGUUGUUAUUACGUUAGGAAACUUUCAUUAUGGAAGGGAGCUUGUCCUUAUCACCAAGGGUGGCACUCCUUUCUAAUCAAGCAAAAUUUACUUUGCUCACAAAGUAUGUAUUAGCUGAUCUUUUAGGAUGUGGCUCUCUAUCUUGCAGAGGCCAUUUUGACCCUUUAGGAUGUCCUGUAUGUCCGCAGUUUAUUAAUGAAAUUAUUUCCUAUAUGAUUCAAAAAAAAGUGUAAAACUACAUUAUAAAUAUUAUCUCUUAUUAAUAGAUAAUAUUUUGCUUUAAAAAAAAAUAUUGUGAUAUGCAAAAUUAAAUUAGUCCUAAA